rnacentral:rRNA from 1 species
AACGCGAAGAACCUUACCAAGGUUUGACAUGCAGGGAAAAGCCGUAGAGAUACGGUGUCCGUAAGGGUCCUGCACAGGUGGUGCAUGGCUGUCGUCAGCUCGUGUCGUGAGAUGUUGGGUUAAGUCCCGCAACGAGCGCAACCCUCGUCCUAUGUUGCCAGCGGGUAAUGCCGGGGACUCAUAGGAGACUGCCGGGGUCAACUCGGAGGAAGGUGGGGAUGACGUCAAGUCCUCAUGCCCCUUAUGUCUUGGGCUGCAAACAUGCUACAAUGGCCGGUACAAAGGGUUGCGAGACCGCAAGGUGGAGCGAAUCCCAAAAAGCCGGUCUCAGUUCGGAUUGGGGUCUGCAACUCGACCCCAUGAAGUCGGAGUCGCUAGUAAUCGCGAAUCAGCAACGUCGCGGUGAAUACGUUCCCGGGCCUUGUACACACCGCUACAGU